rnacentral:rRNA from 1 species
GAUGAACGCUAGCUACAGGCUUAACACAUGCAAGUCGAGGGGCAGCAUGAACAUAGCUUGCUAUGUUUGAUGGCGACCGGCGCACGGGUGCGUAACACGUAUCCAAUCUGCCCGUUACUCGGGGAUAGCCUUCUGAAAGGAAGAUUAAUACCCGAUGGCAUGUAUUUCCGGCAUCGGAGAUACAUUAAAGAUUUAUCGGUAACGGAUGAGGAUGCGUACGAUUAGCUUGUUGGCGGGGUAACGGCCCACCAAGGCUACGAUCGUUAGGGGUUCUGAGAGGAAGGUCCCCCACACUGGAACUGAGACACGGUCCAGACUCCUACGGGAGGCAGCAGUGAGGAAUAUUGGUCAAUGGGCGCGAGCCUGAACCAGCCAAGUAGCGUGAAGGAUGACUGCCCUACGGGUUGUAAACUUCUUUUGUUUGGGAAUAAAUGAUACUACGUGUAGUAUUUUGCAUGUACCUUACGAAUAAGCAUCGGCUAAUUCCGUGCCAGCAG